GACGAACGCUGGCGGCGUGCUUAACACAUGCAAGUCGAACGGAAAGGCCCUGCUUUUGUGGGGUGCUCGAGUGGCGAACGGGUGAGUAACACGUGAGUAACCUGCCCUUGACUUUGGGAUAACUUCAGGAAACUGGGGCUAAUACCGGAUAGGAGCUCCUGCUGCAUGGUAGGGGUUGGAAAGUUUCGGCGGCUGGGGUUGGACUCGCGGCUUAUCAGCUUGUUGGUGGGGCAGUGGAUUACCAAUGCUUUGACGGGUAGCCGGACUGAGAGGGUGACCGGCCACAGUGGGACUGAGAUACGGCCCAGACUCCUACGGGAGGCAGCAGUGGGGAAUAUUGCACGAUGGGCGGAAGCCGGAUGCAGCAACGCCGCGUGCGGGAUGACGGCCGUCGGGUUGUAAACCGCGUGCGCCUGUGGCGAAGCGUGAGUGACGGUAAUGGGUAAAGAAGCACCGGCUAACUACGUG
rnacentral:rRNA from 1 species